rnacentral:rRNA from 1 species
GAUGAACGCUCGCGAUAGGCUUAACACAUGCCAGUCGAGGGGUAACGUGUUGGAAGCUUGCUUCCGAUGACGACGACCGGCGGAUGGGUGCGUAACGCGUAUGCAACUUGCCUCACAGUGGAGAAUAACCCGGAGAAAUCCGGACUAAUACUCCAUACACUCUUAAGUACGCCUGUACAUGAGAGGAAAGAUUUAUCGCUGUGAGAUAGGCAUGCGUCCUAUUAGGUAGUUGGUGAGGUAACGGCUCACCAAGCCGACGAUAGGUAGGGGUGCUGAGAGGCAGAUCCCCCACAUUGGGACUGAGACACGGCCCAAACUCCUACGGGAGGCAGCAGUGAGGAAUAUUGGUCAAUGGAGGAAACUCUGAACCAGCCAAGUCGCGUGAAGGAAGAAUGUCCUAAGGAUUGUAAACUUCUUUAGCGAGCGAGUAAGGACUUCCACGUGAUGGGAGUUUGAAAGUAGCUCGAGAAUAAGUAUCGGCUAACUCCGUG